rnacentral:rRNA from 1 species
GACGAACGCUGGCGGCGUGCUUAAUACAUGCAAGUCGAACGGAAAGGCCCUGCGUUUGUGGGGUGCUCGAGUGGCGAACGGGGGAGUAACACGUGAGUAACCUGCCCUUGACUUUGGGAUAACUUCAGGAAACUGGGGCUAAUACCGGAUAGGAGCUCCUGCUGCACGGUGGGGGAUGGAAAGUUUCGGCGGUUGGGGAUGGACUCGAGGCUUAUCAGCUUGUUGGUGGGGUAGUGGCUUACCAAGGCUUUGACGGGUAGCCGGCCUGAGAGGGUGACCGGGCGCAUUGCGACUGAGAUACGGCGCAGACUCCAACGGGCGGCAGCAGUCGAGAGUCUGACAGAACGAGGGGAAGUGUGAGACAGAAACGCCGCGUGCGGGAAGACGUGUUUCGGGUUGUAAACCGAUUUGGCAUGUGCCGAAGCCGGAGUGACGGUAAUGGGUCAAAAAGCACCGGCUAACUACGUG